GAUGAACGCUGGCGGCGUGCCUAACACAUGCAAGUCGAACGAUGAAACCGCCCCCGGGCGGACAUGAAGUGGCGAACGGGUGAGUAACACGUGACCGACCUGCCCCCCGCCCAGGGACAGCCCCCCGAAAGGGGGAUUAAUACCUGGUACUCCGGAAGCGGCGCAUGCCGCGUCCGGGAAAGCUCUGGCGGCGGGGGAUGGGGUCGCGGCCCAUCAGGUAGACGGCGGGGCAGAGGCCCACCGUGCCGACGACGGGUAGCCGGGUUGAGAGACCGACCGGCCACAUUGGGACUGAGAUACGGCCCAGACUCCUACGGGAGGCAGCAGUGGGGAAUUUUGCGCAAUGGGGGCAACCCUGACGCAGCAACGCCGCGUGCGGGACGAAGGCGUCCGCGUCGUAAACCGCUUUCAGCGGGGAACACUUUUCGAGGGUACCCGCAGAAGAAGCCCCGGCUAAAUACGUGCCAGCCGCCGCGGUAAUAC
rnacentral:rRNA from 1 species